rnacentral:rRNA from 1 species
GAAAGCCUGACGGAGCAAUGCCGCGUGGAGGAUGAAAGCCUAUGGGUUGUAAACUCCUUUUCUCAGAGAAGAAAUUUUGACGGUAUCUGAGGAAUAAGCAUCGGCUAACUCCGUGCCAGCAGCCGCGGUAAUACGGGGGAUGCAAGUGUUAUCCGGAAUAAUUGGGCGUAAAGCGUCUGUAGGUGGUUGACCAAGUCUGUUGUUAAAAAUCAGGGCUUAACCCUGAUCCGGCAACAGAAACUAGUAAACUUGAGUACGGUAGGGGCAGAGGGAAUUCUCGGUGUAGUGGUGAAAUACGUAGAUAUCGAGAAGAACACCAAUAGCGAAAGCACUCUGCUGGGCCGAAACUGACAUUGAGAGACGAAAGCUAG